GAAGAUUGAAGUUUUUCACACUAUAAAGUGAUCAUGAAUAUUUAUAUUUUGACAUACAAACAAAUAAAUAAUAUGGGUGAUAUUAUCAAGGUUGUUUUUGCUAUGAUUAUUUAUCUUUACAUGCUCACCAUCGUAACCAACGCGGUUACUAUAUGUGAUUCUGAUCAAGAUUGUCGCAGAUAUCGUUGUGACCCUCCUGAAUAUCCAAGAUGCCUAGGGAUACUUUGUAAAUGUGUCUAUGUUAGCGGUUAAGUUCAAAAUUGCUUGUUUGGUAUUUCUAAAAACGAAUAAUUGUAUAAUUACAUUCAUUCGCUCUUAGAAGUUAUCGAGAAUAAUUUAGCACACAAUUAAAACUGUCCGCUUUAAUAAGUAAAACAUAAAACAAUGUUAGUUAAUAAAGCCAAUAAUUUUUUUAUUUAUGAGUCAUAUUAUAAGAAAGCCACCAAUAGUAAACAAGGUUAUUAUUGUAAAAGUGUCAUGUCUUAUAACAAAACUAUUACAUUUCAUAAAUUCUUGUAAUUCUAUUAUUUUAUAUUUAUUUAGAAUAAUUAGUUAA